rnacentral:rRNA from 1 species
GUGGGGAAUAUUGGGCAAUGGGCGAAAGCCUGACCCAGCAACGCCGCGUGAAGGAAGAAGGUCUUCGGAUCGUAAACUUCUAUCCUUGGUGAAGAUAAUGACGGUAGCCGAGAAGGAAGCCCCGGCUAACUACGUGCCAGCAGCCGCGGUAAUACGUAGGGGGCAAGCGUUGUCCGGAAUGAUUGGGCGUAAAGGGCGCGUAGGCGGCCUGGUAAGUCUGGAGUGAAAGUCCUGCUUUUAAGGUGGGAAUUGCUUUGGAUACUGUCGGGGUUGAGUGCAGGAGAGGUAAGUGGAAUUCCCGGUGUAGCGGUGAAAUGCGUAGAGAUCGGGAGGAACACCAGUGGCGAAGGCGACUUACUGGACUGUAACUGACGCUGAGGCGCGAAAGUGUGGGGAGCAAACAGGAUUAGAUACCCGAGUAGUCC